CCCUGCAUUGGACCGGACCAGCCCAGCUGCCAGACCCCAGAGGACAGCACCCCCGGGAUCCCCAUUAAGCCUGUAGCUGCAGCAUCAGGAACUUGUGCCUGCCCUUGGUCCUGCGUAGAGCAGCCCCUCUGCUAGCAACUACUUGAAUGCCCCACAUCUGCACUGUUCAAGUUUAUCUCAAGGGACGCCUUAGAGAUAAACACCCCAGAUCCUUUUCUGGGAGCUACUUGGACACCUGGGUUCGCUGUGAAGGUGAAGGGCAGCCGGUGACCGGCUGCAGAUCCCGGCCCAGGAAGGUGCGCAGCCCCCACCGGGACACGGGGUUUCCCGCUGAGCGCCAUGCUGGCUAUGGACGGCGCCUGCAGGGGUCUCCCUGGGACAGCCAAGUCUCCUGCCGAUGAGCCAAGGCACCUCCUGCUCCAGGCAGAACCUGGAAAAUAUCCAGCGAGGGUGGCCUGGACGGAGGAGGAGGGAAUCCGGCAGACUUCACUCCUCAGUGCCAUCAGGAAGUAGCUGGUUUCGGCAUCUUCCGUCCCCAUAACGGCGAUGCCAACUUCCCGCCAGACACCAGGAGGUAAACACACUGCCAAGGGCCUUCCUAGGGAGUGGUGGGCCCAUGGCAACCACAAGGCUGCACCUUAAAAGCAGUCCUGGCUGGCCGCUGCUAUUUGUGGGAUACUGCCUAUGCGAUAAGGGCUGUGGGUCACCAGAGGCCCCGAAAAUGUGAAGACAACUUUCUGGCUUUGUGAGGCAAGAGUUGGUGUAAGGCUUCACUCCUUAUCUGGCCACCUUGUAACAGUAACAGUUGAGGGGGUGGAAGGAAGAGGCAGGAGAAAGGGGAAAGGAGAAGGGUAACAUCCCAUGUUUGUGGAUUGGGAAACUUAAUACUCUUACAAUGGCAGUAUUCCCCAAAACUGAUCUACAGAUUCAACACAACUCUUAUCAAAGUUUCAACCGAAUGCUCUCCAAAUUAGACACGUUUAUCAUAAAAUCUGUAUGGAAAUUUAAGAAACUGAGAGUAGCCAAAGCAGUAUUUUAAAAGAAUAACACAGCCAAGCCGGUGUGGCUCAGUGGUUGAGUGUUGACCUAUGAACCAGGAA